rnacentral:tRNA from 1 species
GAGGUUGUGGCUCAGAGGUAGAGUGUUUGCCUAGCACAUGCAGGGACCUGGGUUUGAUACUCAGCACCACA